rnacentral:lncRNA from 1 species
UCCUCUACAUCUCAUAUAGGCUUAAAAAGCUUCUUCUCUUUUGAGCAAAUAAAUAAUAAAUAAACAAGUAGCUAGCAACACUACAUUCAUUCUGGCAUCUUUAAGAAAUUGUUGGAUAUAGAUCAUCCAGCAACGGUUUUUUUUCCUUUGGGUUAUACGAGAAGGGUCAAGUAGUAAGGGUCAUCAUUUGAUCCGCGAUCUGUGAGUCGAAAUGGGUAGUCUGAGACUUGAGGGGCCAAAAUUCGAUUCGGCAAUUAGGCUCAAUCAGCCUGAUCUGCUCUAAGGUUGAGUAGGACUUGAGUUCAGGUUUUGAAACUUCUAGCUCGUCCUCCGCCCAGCCUACCAAUGACUUGACCC